AUUGAACGCUGGCGGCAUGCCUUACACAUGCAAGUCGAACGCCCUAGCAAUAGGGAGUGGCAGACGGGUGAGUAACACGUGGGAACCUUCCCUAUAGUACGGAAUAGCCCAGGGAAACUUGGAGUAAUACCGUAUACGCCCGUGAGGGGAAAGAUUUAUCGCUAUAGGAUGGGCCCGCGUAGGAUUAGCUAGUUGGUGAGGUAAUGGCUCACCAAGGCGACGAUCCUUAGCUGGUUUGAGAGAACGACCAGCCACACUGGGACUGAGACACGGCCCAGACUCCUACGGGAGGCAGCAGUGGGGAAUAUUGGACAAUGGGCGCAAGCCUGAUCCAGCCAUGCCGCGUGAGUGAUGAAGGCCUUAGGGUUAUAAAGCUCUUUUAGCAGGGAAGAUAAUGACUGUACCUGCAGAAUAAGCUCCGGCUAACUUCGUGCCAGCCGCCGCCGUAACAC
rnacentral:rRNA from 1 species